UGCUGAGAAGGAAAACAAGGGGGGGAUGCUAAGAUGGGAGAGACACUGUGAGGUCGGGGUACUGCUGCAAAAUAAGGGCACAGAUCAAAGAGAGGAAACCAGAGAGGGAGAAUAUGUUGGCAUCAUCGUGGAUAGACUUGUUUACUGUUAUGGUAGCAUCCAGGACAUUCUGAAUUGGUGAGUCUGCAGCUCUAGGCCAUCUAAUGGCCACUUCAACCUUAAUUUCAAGGCUUUGGUGCUGUGAGGACCUCCAAGGGAAGCCAAGGAUGUGGAGCAGUGACUUCAAUCCUCAGCCAUCAUUUAUGUUAUCAGUCAUCCUCAAAUCCCAGCACAAACAACACUACAGGGGCAGAAGCACAGCCGAUGCCAACGCUGCACUCUUGGCAGCAGGACAACUUCAUUGAAGUGCCAGGCAGGAUCCCCCAUUGUAUAAAUCAAUGCAUUUUAUCACAAACCUGGGCCUUCUGGUAAUAAACUAAACAAGAGCUGCUGCUUUCCUCAUGGAUGUAAUCAGCAAACAGGUAAUGAGCAUUGGUAAGAGGCCUUAAAUCCUUGGACAGAAGGCAUCCAGGAUCUAAAAAAGUAUGAUCACAGCUAUUCCAAAUGAAAGUCUCCUGGUGUGUUAACUUUUCUAUCUCUGUUAUCACUCAUCUAAUUCUUUAGCAGUGUAGUAGUACUGAAGACAAAGAUGGUCUUGAAUAAAACUGUACAAUUUAUAUGAGAUUGUAUCAUUCGACUUCAAGGUAUUAUUGCAAAGAGUCCAUCACUUGGCCUGAGGCACUGAGUACUCCUAUUCUACAGCAAGGACGUUGGGGGAGCGCGUCUCAUCAGGGAAGCCUGCAGGGGAUUUCCAUUCCUCACAAGCUCACAUGCUCAGGAUUUAACUAGAGCAUCUCUUUCAGCUUCUGAGGACACAGAUUCAUCUUCGUCUUUGAAGGGAAGAUGAUAGAGUGAUUAUAAUGCUGUCUUUCAUAUGUGAGGUGGGAGAACCAGCUACACAGGGAUGGUUUCCACUACAGAGAAGAGGUUAUAUUUACUGAGUAUUUAGUGGGUCUGAGAAAUGUUGGCUAAAAAAAAUCACUGUAAAGGUUAGAGACAAAAAAAAUCCUUUUUCAGGCUUUUUGGACUUGUCUUUGUGUAGUAGCACAGACAUGAAGAAGAUAACACUGAGAGAUGAUUCACCUUGCUUGCUCUGGUGAGAGUGAAUCCGCAGCUACUUACACCCAAUGCAAGAAAAAAGGAAAAAAAUAUUGAUCCAGAGUUCCCACAUCUAUGAUCUACAUCCUUGUGUUUCCCCUAAAGAAAAUUUAUGGCUCCCCAUCAGCAGUAAAUCAGAGGACUGACUUUCCUGCUCCUUCUCAGACAGAUGCUCUGUUGUACAACAUGAGAGAAAGUCCCCAAAGUGUGGAGGAUAUGAAGGUUUAACACAUGGGCAGGUCUGGAUAACAGUUCAGAGCAAGAAGAAGAAAGACAGAUCAGCUGCCAGCCUGGUGGAAAAUAGCAAGCUUUUCAUUACGUUUAAUGCAUCUGCUAACUGUAGUUCUAUAGAACACUACUGUAUAAAUAGAUGGUUAUUUAUACCAAUAUUUAUAAAUAUAUGUAUAAAUACAACUUUGUAAAUAUAUAUUUAUUAAACUAAAUAAAUACAUAUUUAUAAAGGGAUAUUUAAUGCAUUUAAUAAACAUACAGAUCUUGCUGCCCUGCUGGAGGAUAAAACAAGGUGAAGAGAAUUGGAAGUCAGCCUUGGCAAAAAAUAACCUUAGAUUGACACCUUCUUCCUAAUGGAUUGCAAAGCUCUGUUUUACUCUAAUUUACACACUGGUGAGAGAUUUGGUCGUGAUGUGCAGCAGCCUCUGAGAUG